AAUGAACGCUGGCGGCGUGCCUAACACAUGCAAGUCGGAUGUGCCGCAAGGUGCAUGGCAGACGGGUGAGUAACGCGUGGGGAACCUACCUCUUCGUGGGGAAUAACGAUCCGAAAGGAUUGGUAAUACCGCAUGAGACCGACGGCUGGGAUGCUGUCGGUGAAAGCUGGGGACCGGAAACGGCCUGGCGCGAGGAGAGGGUCCUGCGUCUGAUUAGCUAGUUGGUGGGGUAACGGCCUACCAAGGCAUCGAUCAGUAGCCGGCCUGAGAGGGUGAUCGGCCACACUGGAACUGAGACACGGUCCAGACUCCUACGGGAGGCAGCAGUGGGGAAUUUUGCGCAAUGGACGAAAGUCUGACGCAGCAACGCCGCGUGGGUGAUGAAGGUCUUCGGAUUGUAAAACCCUGUCGUCGGGGACGAAGGUAGGAGGGUUAAUAGCCCUUUUGCUUGACGGUACCCGGAGAGGAAGCCCCGGGCUAACUCUGUGCCAGCAGCCGCG
rnacentral:rRNA from 1 species